GGACCCGCACAAGUAGUGGAGCAUGUGGUUUAAUUCGAAGAUACGCGCAGAACCUUACCAACACUUGACAUGUUCGUCGCGACUUUAAGAGAUUAAAGUUUUCGGUUCGGCCGGACGAAACACAGGUGCUGCAUGGCUGUCGUCAGCUCGUGUCGUGAGAUGUUGGGUUAAGUCCCGCAACGAGCGCAACCCUCACUUUUAGUUGCCAGCGAGUAAUGUCGGGAACUCUAGCAAGACUGCCAGUGAUAAGCUGGAGGAAGGUGGGGAUGACGUCAAGUCCUCAUGGCCCUUACGUGUUGGGCUACACACGUGCUACAAUGGUAUCUACAACAGGAAGCAAAACUGCGAAGUUAAGCAAAUCCUUAAAAGAUACCUCAGUUCGGAUUGCACUCUGCAACUCGAGUGCAUGAAGCUGGAAUU
rnacentral:rRNA from 1 species